rnacentral:rRNA from 1 species
AAACUGAAGAGUUUGAUCCUGGCUCAGAUUGAACGCUGGCGGCAUGCCUAACACAUGCAAGUCGAACGGGGGUUUACGGACCCUAGUGGCGGACGGGUGAGUAACGCGUAGGAAUCUGCCUGGUAGUGGGGGACAACCUGGGGAAACUCAGGCUAAUACCGCAUACGCUCGCGAGAGGAAAGCAGGGGAUCUUCGGACCUUGCGCUAUCAGAGGAGCCUACGUCCGAUUAGCCAGUUGGUGGGGUAACGGCCCACCAAAGCGACGAUCGGUAGCUGGUCUGAGAGGAUGAUCAGCCUGACUGGAACU